rnacentral:lncRNA from 1 species
UCAAGAUCACGAUAAAAAACCUCAUUAGGGAGAUCUUCGUCAGAGGAAACCAGUACACAUGCUCGGGCAAAUGUUAAUCUCGUCUGCGCAGCUGUUGCUUUAUCAAUAUAGAGUGGCUGUCCCAAAGUACUGCAUAACUUUGCAAUAAAACGUCGACUCCAAAGAUGUAGAGGGAGACCUUGAAACGAUACCCAUAAGGGAAUAGACUGUAGACUGUCUAACUCCAAACGGACAUCAGGGGACCAACGUCGUAGAAUUAUUGGAUGGCCACGAAUAGUCCAGAACCCUUCAAGGACCCAUUGCAAAUCUUCUUCAAAGUAUAGCUUGCAAACAAAGAAACCGUUCUCCAGCAUAUGAAGGUCAAAUGCCGAUGUUCCCCAUCUAGUUUUUAUAAAUGAC